ensembl:lncRNA
CAGGUACACACAUCUUCUAAUGGUGCAGUCAGACACCUCCAUACCAACAGACAUGCACAGCGCCUUGCAUCCCACCCCCACCCUGAGACACACACACACACACACACGCACGCACAUGCACACGCACACCCAUACCCCUUACACAGAGGAAGGCCGGCAGAUAAAUAAAUGCCUGGAAACCUGCAUAUGCACACAGAGACCCCAGAACCAUAAAUGCAACCCUCCUCUCACUCACACAUGCAUUUGCCUCCAAGGGGAACCAGGGAUAUUGACUCUAAUUACUAAGCAAAGUGGCGUGUGCGAUAGAGAGGAACUAGCGAGUGAAUAGAGCGGAGAAAGCUGCAGUGACGGGAACAGGCAGGGCUGGGGGCUGCCAGGUCAGGAGGUGUGCAGGGGAGCGUUGCCCAUCCGAGACUCGGAGCAGCAAUAAGCCACAGCAACAGCCCAGGGGGACCCACAGCAAUAGGAGGGAAGGAAGAUCUCGGAAGAGGAGGCAGGCGGACCCAUGCUUGGUGUGUUGCAGGAGCCCUGGAGUCCUAGAUCCCAGAUACUGAAUGACCCACAGGCUGGGGAGAGAUCUGUCCGGGCUCAGCUUGUGGAGUUCCAGCCUGGACCCUGUCUACCUGCAUCACCGGGUAGGGGGCAGCAGAAGCCUAGGAAGGGAGGUGAAUGGUGGCGACUUAAAAACCAGCCGGGUUGCCCUGGUUCUCUGCGAGCCCUCCGUCCCCACACUCUCUAGACCAACCCAGGCCAACCCUCAAUCCCUGGACUGCACCCUCAGUCUUGUGCCUUCAGUUUUGCCUCAGGUAUUUUGCCUUCUAAACAGAAGCUCUAACCAUCCCAUCUCACUGCCUCCCAACACCAGAAGAUCGAAUUAGCACCACCCCCUUCCUUCCCUAGCUGUCGCUUAAGGAGCCAUCUCUGUAACCUUGGACAAGUCCCUUGUACUCUCUCUGCCUCAGUUUCCCCGUUUGUAAAAUGAAGAGGUCAGAGCAGCCAGAGGCUUUUAACCUGGGAUCCAGGAACUUGUUUUAUUAUUAUUUUGAUAACUGUAUUUCAAUGUGGAUUAUUUCCUUUGUGACCCUAUAUAUUUUAUUUUGUGCAUCGUAAAACAUUAUUCUGAGAAGAGGUGCCUAGGCUUCACCGGACUGUCCGCGGGAUCCAAAACGCGAAAUGGCGAAGAAUCUCUGGACAAGAUGAUUUCAGGGAUACUUUUAAAGCUCUCAAUCUGAUGCUUCUACGAUCUUGCUCUCGCGUGAAACGGAUGGCUGUCUCCUCACCCCGUCUGGCCAGCCCAUGCCCCAUUUUAGAAAAGCCUCCCUCCAUAGGGUCCCGCCUCCUUGCCCCUGCCUAGGGCUCUGUCCUUUGCCUGAGCUCCCCUUGGCCAGACAAAAGCCCUACAGGCCCCUCAGGCGGCUGUCACCCAGGCGCCGGUUGCCAUGGCAACCGCUGGAGCUGUACCAGUCACCUGCCUGGCUCCUGCGGCCCCGCCCUGGUCAGAGAGCUCCACUCCCAGCAGCGGGAGCCACUUAAGUACUGGCAGGGUUUCCAGCUGUCUCCGCCCCCCUCCUCCUUUCCACUCCCCCAGGUUUCUCCGUUCUCCCUCACUCUUUCCUCCCCACCCUUGCCCCAAUAACUGCAUGAAAAAAAAAAAAGCCAAAUAGGAUGCAUAGGGAGACUCAGGGGCUACCAGUUAAGCUCCUUGGUUCUCUGUGGGGUCCCCGCUUUUCGGGGUGGAGGGAGUUAGCAUGAGGGGAAGGAGAUCCACCAAAUGUUCUCUGGGAGGGGCAAAAGAUGCAGGGGUCAAGGAUCUGGAUUUGAGCCCAUUCUCUGACAUCUAAUGUGUGACCUGGACCACUCACCUACCCUUUGGGGCCU